GAGGGUAUCGCUCAGUGGUAGAGCGCAUGCUUAGCAUGCAUGAAGUCCUGAGUUCAAUCCCCAGUACCUCCA
rnacentral:tRNA from 1 species